GAUGAAGAACGUAGUGAAAUGCGAUAAGUAAUGUGAAUUGCAGAUUUCAGUGAAUCAUCGAAUCUUUGAACGCACAUUGCGCCCGCCAGUAUUCUGGCGGGCAUGCCUGUCCGAGCGUCAUUUCAACCCUCGAACCCCUCCGGGGGGUCGGCGUUGGGGAUCGGCCCUGCCUCUUGGCGGUGGCCGUCUCCGAAAUACAGUGGCGGUCUCGCCGCAGCCUCUCCUGCGCAGUAGUUUGCACACUCGCAUCGGGAGCGCGGCGCGUCCACAGCCGUUAAACACCCAACUUCUGAAAUGUUGACCUCGGAUCAGGUAGGAAUACCCGCUGAACUUAAGCAUAUCAAUAAGCGGAGGA
rnacentral:misc_RNA from 1 species